rnacentral:rRNA from 1 species
GGGGAAUUUUCCGCAAUGGGCGAANGCCUGACGUGAGCAAUACCGCGUGAGGGAGGAAGGCUUUUGGGUUGUAAACCUCUUUUCUCAAGGAAGAAGCAAGUGCCGGUACUUGAGGAAUCAGCAUCGGCUAACUCCGUGCCAGCAGCCGCGGUAAUACGGAGGAUGCAAGCGUUAUCCGGAAUCAUUGGGCGUAAAGCGUCCGCAGGUGGCAUAUCAAGUCUGCUGUCAAAGACUAGAGCUCAACUCUGGAAAGGCAGUGGAAACUGGUAAGCUAGAGUACGGUAGGGGUUGAGGGAAUUCCCAGUGUAGCGGUGAAAUGCGUAGAUAUUGGGAAGAACACCAGUGGCGAAGGCGCUCAACUGGGCCGUAACUGACACUCAGGGACGAAAGCUAGGGUAGCGAAAGGGAUUAGAUACCCCAGUAGUC